GACAGAGGGUGCAAACGUUGUUCGGAUUUACUGGGUGUAAAGCGCGUGUAGGCGGCUUUGCAAGUCGGAUGUGAAAGCCCACGGCUCAACCGUGGAAGUGCAUCCGAAACUGCAUGGCUGGAGUCUCGGAGAGGAAGGUGGAAUGCUUGGUGUAGAGGUGAAAUUCGUAGAUAUCAAGCAGAACACCUGCGGCGAAGGCGGCCUUCUGGACGAUGACUGACGCUGAGACGCGAAAGCGUGGGGAGCAAACAGG
rnacentral:rRNA from 1 species